rnacentral:rRNA from 1 species
GAUGAACGCUAGCGGGAGGCCUAACACAUGCAAGCCGAGCGGUAUUGUUUCUUCGGACAUGAGAGAGCGGCGUACGGGUGCGUAACACGUGUGCAACCUGCCUUUAUCUGGGGGAUAGCCUUUCGAAAGGAAGAUUAAUACUCCAUAAUAUAUUGAACGGCAUCGUUUAAUAUUGAAAGCUCCGGCGGAUAGAGAUGGGCACGCGCAAGAUUAGCUAGUUGGUGAGGUAACGGCUCACCAAGGCGAUGAUCUUUAGGGGGCCUGAGAGGGUGAUCCCCCACACUGGUACUGAGACACGGGCCAGACUCCUACGGGAGGCAGCAGUGAGGAAUAUUGGUCAAUGGGUGCAAGCCUGAACCAGCCAUCCCGCGUGAAGGACGACUGCCCUAUGGGUUGUAAACUUCUUUUGUAUAGGGAUAAACCUACCCUCGUGAGGGUAGCUGAAGGUACUAUACGAAUAAGCACCGGCUAACUCCGUG